GGCAACAGAGGGCCGCAGAAGGCAGAGAAACUGACAGUCACCCACACAAAGCACGACGGAUCUGUGGGCUAAUUAAAAGGUCCUGUGCUUGGGUCACCUUGUAAACGAGAAAUGUCAGUCAGAAACCCACGGUCACCAACAGCUCUUCUGAGAAGCCCCCGGAACUCCCCGCCACCCUGCAGGUGCCGUCUGUUCCCAGAGCCCCGCCUGCUGCUCCUGAGAGCCUGGGAAUAUCUCAUCUGCUGGGCCC
rnacentral:lncRNA from 1 species